CCUACGGGAGGCAGCAGUGAGGAAUAUUGGUCAAUGGGCGGGAGCCUGAACCAGCCAAGUCGCGUGAGGGAAGACGGCCCUACGGGUUGUAAACCUCUUUUGUCAGGGAGCAAGGUGCAGGUCGGGACCUGCUGUGAGAGUACCCGGAGAAAAAGCAUCGGCUAACUCCGUGCCAGCAGCCGCGGUAAUACGGAGGAUGCGAGCGUUAUCCGGAUUUAUUGGGUUUAAAGGGUGCGUAGGCGGGCUUUUAAGUCAGCGGUAAAAAUUCGGGGCUCAACCCCGUCCGGCCGUUGAAACUGGGGGCCUUGAGUGGGCGAGAAGAAGGCGGAAUGCGUGGUGUAGCGGUGAAAUGCAUAGAUAUCACGCAGAACCCCGAUUGCGAAGGCAGCCUUCCGGCGCCCUACUGACGCUGAGGCACGAAAGUGCGGGGAUCGAACAGGAUUAGAUACCCGUGUAGUC
rnacentral:rRNA from 1 species